rnacentral:rRNA from 1 species
GAUGAACGCUGGCGGCGUGCCUAAUACAUGCAAGUCGAGCGAACAGAUGAGGAGCUUGCUCCUCUGACGUUAGCGGCGGACGGGUGAGUAACACGUGGAUAACCUACCUAUAAGACUGGGAUAACUUCGGGAAACCGGAGCUAAUACCGGAUAAUAUAUUGAACCGCAUGGUUCAAUAGUGAAAGACGGUUUUGCUGUCACUUAUAGAUUGAUCCGCGCCGCAUUAGCUAGUUGGUAAGGUAACGGCUUACCAAGGCAACUAUGCGUAGCCGACCUGAGAGGGUGAUAGGCCACACUGGAACUGAGACGCGGUCCAGACUCCUACGGGAGGCAGCAGUAGGGAAUCUGCCGCAAUGGGCGGAAGCCUGACGGAGCAACGCCGCGUGAGUGAUGAAGGUCUUCGGAUCGUAAAACUCUGUUAUUAGGGAAGAACAAAUGUGUAAGUAACUAUGCACGUCUUGACGGUACCUAAUCAGAAAGCCACGGCUAACUACGUG